rnacentral:rRNA from 1 species
GAUGAACGCUGGCGGCGUGCCUAAUACAUGCAAGUCGAGCGAACAGAUGAGGAGCUUGCUCCUCUGACGUUAGCGGCGGACGGGUGAGUAACACGUGGAUAACCUACCUAUAAGACUGGGAUAACUUCGGGAAACCGGAGCUAAUACCGGAUAAUAUAUUGAACCGCAUGGUUCAAUAGUGAAAGACGGUUUUGCUGCCACUUAUAGAUGGAUCCGCGCCGCAUUAGCUAGUUGGUAAGGUAACGGCUUACCAAGGCGACGAUGCGUAGCCGACCUGAGAGGGUGAUCGGCCACACUGGAACUGAGAUACGGUCCAGACUCCUACGGGAGGCAGCAGUAGGGAAUCUUCCGCAAUGGGCGAAAGCUUGACGGAGCAACGCCGCGUGAGUGAUGAAGGUCUUCGGAUCGUAAAACUCUGUUAUUAGGGAAGAACAAAUGUGUAAGUAACUAUGCACGUCUUGACGGUACCUAAUCAGAAAGCCACGGCUAACUACGUG